rnacentral:rRNA from 1 species
CCCUUAGAUGUUCUGGGCCGCACGCGCGCUACACUGAGCCCUUCAUCGAGUUUACAACCUUGGCCGGUAGGUCUGGGUAAUCUUCUCAAAGGGGCUCGUGCUGGGGAUAGAUUAUUGUAAUUUUUAAUCUUCAACGAGGAAUUCCUAGUAAACGCAAGUCAACAGCUUGCAUUGAUUACGUCCCUGCCCUUUGUACACACCGCCCGUCGCUACUACCGAUUGAAUGGCUUAGUGAGCCCGAGGGACUGUUGCACCUAGAGGGUUUUCUCUCCAGGAGCAGCCGGGAACUCGGUCAAACUUGAUCAUUUAGAGAAAGUAAAAGUCGUAACA